ensembl:snoRNA
AUCCUUUUGUAGUUCAUAAGUGUGAUGAUUGCGUGUUCACGCUCUGGUGUGAGAUGUGCCUACCUCAAAUCUUGUUACGACAUCGGCACGUUACCCGUCUGCCG